GAAACGCCAUCUUUUCUCACCAUUGUAGCUUCGAAAAUUCAAAAAGAGAUGGCGAUUUCGCAGAACUUCACCACUUCCCUGGCGAUCCUCCUUAUAGCAAGCUCAGCAUUAUUGAGCUCCUCACCAUGUAGAGCUCGUUCACUACCCGGAGGCUCAACCAUCCAAAACUCCGGCCCUUCACCGGGUGAAGGGCACAGGUCACCGCUCCCGACCACUUUCCUACCUACUACAACAAAUUUCACAUUUCCAAGCACUCGCCUUAUAUAUAGACAUACUGUGAAAUCAAUCUUCAUACAGUCUCAGAAACGCCAUCUUUUCUCACCAUUGUAGCUUCGAAAAUUCAAAAAGAGAUGGCGAUUUCGCAGAACUUCACCACUUCCCUGGCGAUCCUCCUUAUAGCAAGCUCAGCAUUAUUGAGCUCCUCACCAUGUAGAGCUCGUUCACUACCCGGAGGCUCAACCAUCCAAAACUCCGGCCCUUCACCGGGUGAAGGGCACAGGUCACCGCCCCCGACCACUUUCAAAGAAGCCGCCUUUAAACUUGAGGAAUCUGGCCCUUCACCGGGUGAAGGGCACGGGUCACCGCACGCGGCCGCCACUUUCGAAGAAGCCGCCUUUAAACUCGACAAAUCUGGUCCGGCUCCUGGGGAGGGACAUAAGCUAUAUAUAUAGUCUUUCAUAUACAACUCUUAAACUACAUAAGUCCAGUCCUGCUCCUAAUAAGUGACAUAUGUUUUUUGAUAUUAUAUGUACUGACUAUGAAUGUAUUAUGUAUAUUAUUUGAAAAUUUGUAACCAAAUAUGAAAUGAAAAAAACAUAGUUAUAUGGUUGCAUAACUAUUUUAAACUUAACAUGUCUCUUAAUGUUAAUGUCAAAAACUAAUUGGUCUCCUAAAUUUGGGUCAAGUUAUGCAGUAGUUUCAAGACGUUCAAAUCGACUACAACAUUAUCGAUUUCAAUUUUAGAUUUUAGAUUUCGAGUUUCGCAUUUGAGUUAUCAAAAAUACCGAAAAUGUCAAAAACCUAAAAAAAUAAGUAUUUAGAAAAUAUCAAAAAUGCCCCCACAAUAAAAAAAUUUAGAAAUUAUGGAACUUUUUUCCCUAAAUUUAAAACUGCUCUCGACCCUGAGGCCUCAUGUGUCUGAUCCUCCUGGUAAAGGGCACAAGCUAUCUAACCUUUUAUACUAUACGGUUAAACCAUAUAUGUUUAGUCCUUCUCUUGACGAGGAACAUAAAAUUCUCUUAUAUUUCUCUCAAAACCUUGAAGCCUCACGAGUCUGGUCCUAUUUCUGGCGAGGGACAUAAAUCCCAUGACGAUACAAUAAUAUCUUUGAGGUUCACACAAUUAUAAUUUGUUUAGUUUUUAUUAUCAUUAUAUAUGUAUCAAAUUACUAUUAUAUUUUUAGAAAAUCAAUACUUUUUCAUUGACUUAUAUAAGUAUUCUUACUAAUUUGGUUAUAUGAAUGGUAUGUCUACAACUUAAAUAGAUACUAUCAAUCCUUAUAUUGAUUAUUAUUGAUUGUCUGGCCACGCAAAAUGAAUUUAAUCAUUGCGACUUCAAUUUUGAAGGAGUACGAAAUUUUUUUCUAAUAUCAUGUGGGAGUCGAUUGCGAUUGGACCCACAUGAACAAAAAAAAAGGGUUUGUAGAGGGAAAGUAAGAGAGAAUUGAAUGCGAGAUAUGAAACUUGAUGCCAACAAGUCAAUACUAGUCAUCCACUUGAACAACAUAGAAUGACAAAACACUUUUAGUGAGUUUUAGACAGUUGAGAUACACAAUGUUGGAAGUCAACCACUACUAUUUCUUCUUCUUGCAUACACACAACCUUUAGAACAACUCAAACCAACCAAAUCUAAGUCAUGAACCAUCCAACCCAAGCCUUAUUGAACUCGAUCGAUCUGUCCAAUUCCCGACCGAACCCAACCAUACAAACAUCGCUCACCCACCAACAUUUACCAAGCUCCAAAGAUCAACAUGCUAAUUGGUCUCUGAGCGAAGAGAUCUCUUCAAAGAUGGGUAGCCUCUUGGACCUUGACCUGGCCCAUCUUCUCAUGAACUCCUCAAGCCCAUUCAUGAAAUCUUCAUCGUCCAGGUCCAAGCCCAUCAGGCCCAUCGUAUCUUGAGGCAACUGGCGUAGUCUGAUCUCUCCGAUCAACUCCUCAGCACGAUUCCUCGCCCGAGUGUCGUCUGAGCCAGGGAGCCUACACUGAGAGACUUCUUCCAGAACUGAAUGGCCCUCAUCGUACCGGGCCUGCUUCAUCAAGCACAGGCCCAAAUUGCAGGCCUUGUUGGCGUCUGGAUCGAUCAUUUGAGCCUUCUUGUACACCACCUCCGCUGCUAUGUAGUUGGGCUUCUGCAUGUAGGCCCAUCCCAAGUUCCCCUGCAAGUGUUAUCAUUUCUGAUUUAGUUUCGUAUGCCAAAAACCAAAUCACUAAGUAUGAAGGGGAAUAGCUUCAGUGGUAGAGCGUGUGUCUGAUGAUUUAGAGAUUUUGAAUUCGAAUUCAGUAUAUUUUAUAAUAUGAACAUCCUAUUGUGUUUGCUUUAUGUCUCCUACUUUGUAUUGACCGAGUCUCGGCCUACUAUGAUAAAGAAAACUCAUGUUCGGAAUAUUUCACACUUAAUAUGAUCAUAAGUUACUAUAUGACUAGAUUAAAAUUGGUCUGAUCAAUAUGGUAAUGAGUUUAUCCAAUCGUUUGAUUGUGAGACAAUUGAACAUGUUGAGUCCGGUUCAGAACCUUAUAAGAAAGCGAGUAUACAACCGUUUUGACUAAGGAUAACGGUUAUGCAAACAUUGUCACCGCUAAAGUUAACGCGGUCAAAACUGACGUAAGAUGGUGAACCAACCCUCUUCUAAUUAAAUCGAUCUAGGAUACACUUUUCAACCGUGAUUAAGGAACAUCGACCAUUGGUCGAACCGAUCGAGCUUACCAGUAAUCGGGAGGUCUCUUGCUGAACCGAAACCUGGAAUUUCUUGCCGUGAGAGCGAGCAGUUUUGGUGGGUCUGCCAUUGAAGGUCUCGCCCAAGUAUAUUAAUCUCAGCUUCCUCUUCAGAAGCUCUAUCUGCUCAUCCACCUUCCCACAUUUCUGCACGAUGCACAAAUGUUACCUUUCUUUCACUCUUUUACUGGCCAACAGUCUAUCGCAAUGUAUGUACGUGUUUCCAAAUGGGUGUUUUUUUGCGACGAAAAAUUGUAGAUAGUACCUUGUACAAGUCGAUGAGGACAUUGUCGAGGGAGUCCUGAGCCUGCUUCGAGCAGCGUCGUCGGAAGGACUUGAUGGCUUCAAUGGCUUCCUCACUUCGGUUGAGUUGCCUCAUGACGACGGCCAUGUCUUUGAGUGCACUGUCGACUCGAUCUCCUGCGUUUAUCGCCUUCCAAAACCAUACUAUCGCUGCCUCGCCAUCCUUCUCCACCAACUAUGUCCAUGUAAAUUAACAAUCAAAUUGAUUUAAGGCCAUGUUUGGUAAUACAUGAACUGCAAUUUGUUGUUAAUCUACAAAUUACACACUAAUUCAUGUGACUGAAAUAUCACAUGACUCAUUAAAUUUCCAACCAAAAAAAAUCAAAAUCUCACUUUACCAAACCGGUCUAAUUGUUUUUGGUUUUAAUGAAUCAGAACCGGUCGCGUUGUUAAAUUCAAUAGUGUAAAUUCGAUCUUACAAGACCAGUUUUUGCAGUCUUAUAAAACUCCAUUCGCCACCAGUUUUGAGCUUAUAUAGACAUGUGGGAUAAGUUGAGUAACACAACAAUUAUACAUACAUAGAAAAAUAUCAUAUCUUAAUUAUCGUAUGGAUAAUAAGAGUUACAAACCAAGCUAGCUAGCUAGAAACUACAUGUAAACUUGAUUAUGUGUAAUUGAAAUCAUAUGUAGUUAAUUAUAUAGCAUACCGUCGAAAAAUAAAUCUCUACUUUUCCAAAUCACUCUACGUACCCACAUAUAGUAUAUAAGGGAUUAUACUAAAUCUGACGAACUUAUUGCUUACAGAUCAUAUAUAUAUAUAUAAACAGUAAACAAGGUGAGCAGCUAACAACAACAACGACAAAGAGUCAAACUAGCUCGGAAAAGAGUAUAAACCUGAGCAUGCUUGGCUUUGACAUAAGGGCCAUCACCAGAAGGAACCUUGUGAAGAAUAUGAACUAGUUCAUCCUUGCUAGUAGUCCCCAUAGCUUGAGCUUCUGAUCUCCAACUUACUUGAUUCCUUUUGGGUCUGGUUUGAGACCUGAGAGAGAGAGAGAGAUGUGAUGAAUGAAGAGGAAUCAACAGAGUAGGUCCAGAAAUAAUACUUUUUUUUUAUUCCAAAUAGUGCUGGAAAAUUGCUAAGGUGGUUGAGUAUGAUUAAGAAUGAACCUGGAUGGCUUCAUGUCUUUGUUCUUCUUCUCCUUCAUCUGAUAACUGGUUUUUUUUGCCUUUCUCUUGUCUUUUAGGCAGGUAAAUUCAAUGGAAUCUAUUAAUAUAAGGUUUCGUUUGGAAAAUAGAAAAUUGGAUGUUAUAUUUAGAUGGCUGUUUGAAAGUUUGCUUUUUGAAAUUUAUUUAACUUUUUUCACUCGAUUAGAAAAGAUAUUCAAAAUUAAUCCAUCCACCCACUUUUCCAUAUGUCAAACGAAACAUAAAUGAAUUGUCACGUUUAUAUAUACCGAUUUGGUGGAUUUUCUCUAGAUCAUGAUUCAAUUUAAUAUAAGGAUGAUUUUAUUGUUUUGAUAUUUCAUUUUUUGGGUAUAAAUAUGCUUAAAAUUCCAAAUGAUCUUCUACGUACCAACCCGUGCAUGGAAAAAAUCACCAUGCAUUAUGCAAUUUAAUACGGUGUACUUUCAUUAUGCACCAUAUUUAUUUAUACAAUGUAUUUUUACCAUGCAAAAUAUAUCUUGAUAUUUUACACUUUCACUGCUCCGCGCACUGCACAUGUUGAUAUGGCGAGCUUCCACUGUCCAGGUGAAUUUUCUGUGGGUCACGAUUCUAUUUAAUUCGACAAUAAUUUUACAAUUUUGAUAUCUUAUAUUGUCUUUUCUAUACUUAGAGGCAUAAGUAUGAACUGGACCAGUUAGCUGCAUAUCCCAUUAUUGUAUACAUCUAUUCAUAUUUUAAAAUUAAGAAAAAUGGAUAAAUAUACUUUUUAAAAUCUAAUAUUAAGUUAAAAUAUAUAAAAUAAAAACAUAAAUGUGUCACCGUAAUUUUAUUUUAUUUGUUAAAAUUUGUAAUUAUUACUCAUUAAUCUGUUUAUACAUGUGUUGGACUCGAAUCUGGAACCUUCAAUUCACCGACACAUAUCUCAAAUUCAAAUACUAAAUCUCUCGAUCGAUACAAAAUAAAAAAAAAAUACAUUACAAUGGUAUUUAUUUAUAGGGUGCGUUGGACUCGAACCCGAAACCUUCAAUUCACCGACACACAUCCCUACCACUAUAACUACCCCACUUAAGUAUUGAAUUGCCUUAAUCAUUCGACAAGUUCCCAUAUUCUACAACUACCUCACAAGAAGCUUGUCAUCACUUCAUCUUUAAAAGGAAAUGGGUAAGGCAAGCAUACUAACAGCCCCAACAUCAAAACCAAUACUCCAAGGUAAAUGUACUUGUCCUCGGGCUCCGAUACCUCUUCCGAGAUCGGAGCAAUCGGUCCCCUCUGCAAGAAGAAUAUCAGAACAACCCAGUAGAAGGCGAUGUCGUUAAACAACGACGAUAGCCCCAGUAGGACGACAGAGGCACCCGUUAAUCGAGAUGAGAUCUGCAGACAAACCGGCAUCCGUUACAGCGUUAGAAAUCUGAAACGUGUCCAUAUGGAGAAGAUGAGUGUAGCAUCAUGGAUGGUAUUGGCAGUACCUUUCUUCCCCAUAUGGCGAAAGAGAUUCUUCCUCCGUCGAGCUCUCCGGCAGGGAUGCUAUUGAUGGCGUUUAUUAGAAGUCCGGACCAUGCCCAUAUCACGAGCGGGUUGAUGGAUAUUGGAGUCCCUUCCUUGAGUGCUUCUCCUAGAAGGAGCUUGGCUAUAAAGGCGACGUAAACACAACUUCUUUUCAAUCAUUUAGCCAGAAUAGAAAAUGCAAUGCAGAUAUAAUGAUUACCAAACCAUGAAAAAGAAAAAGACAGUGAAUCAUUUAUCGACGUUUAAAGGUGGCUAUGAAGGUAGUUGGUGAUCAUGAAUUGUUCCAUUUACCACUUAAGAUGCAGGGAUAAGUAUGGUCAUGUAAGGUAGUGAAGUGCUUACCGAUACCACCGGCAAGAAAUGAUUCAUGAAAGACGGUAGGAUCCACAAUGAUACCAAUUCCAUCACUGGGUGGUAAGAAGAAUCCCAGCAGAAGAAGAACAAGACCCAAGGAAAAGCCUGCUAGAGGGCCAGCAGCUGCAACCUUCAGAAGAUCUUCACGUUUGGCAACAAUGUUCCUUAUCCUUGUGAUAGCACCAAAGGAGCCUAUCUGCCCAUCAACUUAGUUCAUUAGAACCAUCCUAUUCCUUACUGAAGAACACUUAUAGGAAGACAAACUAGGCCGAAAAUUUGAUGAUAGAAACAGAUAUUCUUGAUGGAAGCAAAUGAGACAUCAGAAGACGGAAAAUGGUUCCCACUGGAUACCAUAAACAUCAAAUUACUGCAUUUUACCUGCCAACUUGGAACAAAGUAUGGAACUCCAAGCUUAAUCCCAAUAUCUUUAGCAACCAAUAUGUGGCCAAGCUCGUGUACCCCGAGAACAAGUGCAGUGACAAGAGCUCCAGGAAGGCCAUUAUAUAUCAAUUCGGGAUUUUCAAAGGUUGAUCUGCACCAAGCAUAUAUAUGAAUAUAUUUUCAAAAUUAUGUUGACGAACGAAAAAGAUUUGACUGAAGUUGCAACCCGUAGCUUCAUUUUCUCAAGGAAAAGAAACGGAAAGAAAGAAGAAUCGUCAUAAUUUGUUUGAAACACACAAUGUAUUAAGCCAAGUUACAUGAUAAAAUAUGGAUGCAUCUAUGUACGUACAGUAAGUUGGACUGCAGUUGGGGCACAUUUCUAAGAAGUAGCGUAAAAACUGCAACCAGUCCAAAAGCCCCUGCUGCAAACCACUCAGGAACGGCUGGAAAAUAACCAACAACGUCAUUGUCAGAAUGCACAAGUUUUACCCUUCCUGGAUAUUACUUUCCAAAUUCGUACUUACGUGUUGUCUCUGGUUGCAUAGUCUUGCUUGGAACAACUACUGCAACUGGUUUAUCAUCCUCUGGAUUAGUGAGAAGGAAAACCUUGUAUUCGUUGCCAAAUUUAUUCUGCAUGACGUAAGAACAACAAUUCAGAUGCCACUCACACGACCUGAUCGAAAAGUAACAAGUCAAUUCAGUUCAUACCUUCAAUCUGUUAGCGAUUUUAUCAUAGCUUUUUGCAGCUUGCCCACGGAGGUUUCCUUUGAACAAGACUCCACCCUGUGAAUAAUAAAUCAAUAAAGGUUAAUCAUUCACAAGAUGAUAUCUAACCUAGAAACUAGUAGAUAGCUAAAGUAGAUGAUCAAUGGUGUCCAUUUCCAAUGGCAUCUGAAAUUUCUAGCUGAGCUGUAACAACUUCGUCAAUAUUCAGAGAAGAUCCAGAACUAGUAUUAUUAAGUAGUAACAUUCAUAUAUCUUACUGGAAAGGAAGCGAUAAAUUAUCAUCCUCAGACCUGAUAGGGCUCCUGACUUGUGACGAAGAAAGUAUCAAACCCGAACACUUGGUCCUUGAGGAUGUCGAUUGUCUCCUUUGGAAUCCUAAAUGAUUCAUCCAGCUGCUGCAGCUGUCGAGCAAGAUGUGUGAGAGAACAUUCUCAGAGACAAUUGUUCUACAAUGCCAAGAAAUUAAAAUACCUCCUAUGAAUUAUGUUUACCUUCAUUCCCGGGAGAGGGGAUCCCGAAGCAACUUCUACUUCCUCAGCAUCCUGUCCAAACAAAACUUUCUAAAAUGAGAAACCUUGCAACUUCUAAUCAUUUAUUGACUUGAUACAACUUGCAAUCAAAAGCACUAAUUGAAUACAUUCACAUGGUUAUACAAGUAAAUUGUUGACCAGAUUGAUGAAGGAUGUUCCAUUUGCACCAAGUAUGAGAGCAACUGCAGUAAACAAUAUGCUGGACUCAAAUGCAGGAUAUACAGAUAAAGUACCCCGGUUCCACCUUCAGCUUUAGUUUCCCCAUCGAAAGUGGUAACUUGGUUCAACACUGUAGGCGGAGAAUCUGGCUGGGGAUCUUGUUGUUCUAAUGAAUCUACCCUAGGUGCUGCCUCUCCCUCACUUGCUUUGUGUUCAUCGUUUUCCUGAAGAUAGAGACACAUUCCACGUUCAACCACUUCAACUAAGGACUCAAUCAAAAAAAUCCUUCAUUACUUGGCACCUGAAGCAUUCACCUUAUCGUCAUUACUAUCAGGUUCAGUCUCCGUAGCUCUACAAACUAUUCUUCUUUUCUUCCCAUGAAAUCUGGAUUCAAUGUAACGGAUUAUCUCAUUAAUUCCUGACGAAAAAACGAGGCCAUAACACAAAUCGAAGUUGGAUUUCAACUUACUUAGACACUAUGCAAAACUUGAAAUCUCUGGAGUGAUACCGUCUCAGUCGGCAGGAAGUACGGAAUGUCUCUGGCAAUGGCAGAGACCGAAGAUCGUAAGAACAAGAGGUGCUACCCGGCGGCGAGUAAAGCAACAAUGGACAACAACUGCCGCGAAAGAUAGUCGAAGUGCUGCUCAUUCUACAAUUUUUUCAGCUGAAUCGGAGCCCCAACUCCAUACAAAAAUGGCAAGCUCAAGUGCUCUACUGGCGGACAACUACACCGUCUUCCGCCGGUGUUUUAUCAAAUGAGAAGUCAGGACUCAAGGCGUGGAAAUCGGAUCUGGUUCCCGUCGGUCAGACCGGGUUUCGGGUCGGCUAAACCUUAUCCCUGGGCAAUUUGGGAGGCUGGUGGAAGAUGAAGAUUGUUCUUCACUAGCAUUUCUGAAGUUGCAAACUGAACACCGGAAGCAUAGAUCGGACGGUUGACGUUUCAAGUUUCCUAGUAUAGUGAUCGAACGGUUACUGGUCACUUUCUUCUAUAUAGGCUUGAUGGGCUAUCGUAAUGGAUUAUGGUUACAUGGGCCUAGACUCUUUUGGGCUACCCAAGAGAAAUAUGCAGCAAAUUUGUUGCAGAAGUAUAAAUUCUUAUAACUAGUUACAUACGCAAAUAACACAUAGAAACAAUAUAGAGGAUAAAUAAUACCAGAAAAAAAUAAUGAAGACAUGAACUGACAAAUUUAUGAACAGGGGUAAAAACAGCUUCAAAUAUGAUUUCUUUUUUUUUGCCUUAAUUACAAACUAUGAUAUUUUUUUCUGAACCACUUCCUCUUUGAUCUUAACUAAAUGCAGAAGAGAAUAAAGAGGAACCAACCAACAUAAGCAAAAGAACAAAGACCUUGCCACCCCGUUCAUAUUUCAUAAGAGCUCUCUGAUGAAGCUUAAGAGCUAAAAACCCAACCAACCGCAGAAGACACCAUCUUUUUUUUUUUGCUUGACUACUUAGAAACAGUACUUGGAAUAACAAUGCAGCCAACUCUUAAACCACUUAUAGCAUACGAUAACUGUAGAUGAGUGCUUUAGCCCGGUCAUGCUUGGUUGUCGCCUCCACCCCCUGUGCGGCCACCACCCCUUCCUCGGCCACGACCAUAGCUCCUGCCGCCUCCUCUCCCUCCUCUGCCACCUUCGUAACCGCCUCCUCUGUUUCCUUCGUAUCCGCCUCGAUAUCCACUCAUUCUGCCUCCUUCGUAUCCAUCACCUCUGUUGCCACCUUCGUAACCGCCUCCUCUCCCUCCUCCAUAUCCACCUCUUCCUCCUUCAAACCCACCGCCUCUUCGUCCUCCAUAUCCACCCCUGCCUCCUUCAUACCCGCCAUCUCUGCCUCCUUCGUACCCGCCACCUCUGCCUCCUUCGUACCCGCCACCUCGGCCUCCACCAUAUCCACCUCGGCCUCCUUCGUAUCCACCUCGGCCUCCUUCGUAUCCACCUCUGCCUCCUUCGUAUCCGCCACCUCUGCCUCCUUCAUAUCCACUACCUCGGCCUUCAUAAUCGCCACCUCUGCCCCCUCCUUCAUAACCAGCACCUUCAACACAUCAUCAAAUACUUGGAAAGAUCAGAAUACCCAAUAAAACAAGCAUCCAAGUCUCGAAAGACCGAUGCAAGAAUAAUAUAUCAGCUAGACAAUAUGAGUAAAGCAUGCUUCGAACCAAAAGCAAUACUGAGAAAUGAAAAGGGUUUGACAUGAGGUUACCUCGAUAACCCCAGUUUCUGCCUCUUCCACCACCACGUCCCCAGUUUGAAUAACCACCAUUCUCUGAUAUAAGAAGAGUUCAUAAGAAACAGGUCGCACAGGAAAACAAAUAGAAAUUUUCAGAGUGAAGCACUAAUUUGAUGAUUAGGGGACAUAAGUUGUACCUUCAUAACCCCUCUGAUAGUUUCCCUGAUAGUUUCCUUGAUAGUUUUCCGGAAAGUUUCCAUAUCCAUAUCCACCCCUGCCCCAGUUUCGACCUCUUCCCCUCCCUCUCCCUCUGCCACCACGUCCGCGACCGCCGCCAUAUGAAUCUAGAGGAAACGUUAUUACCAGGUUAGGACUUAGGAUCAUGAUAAUACUUACUAGAGAAUUACUUCAACUGCCAUGUUUACCUUCAUAAUAUGGACCUCGGACUUGUCUAUACUGUUGUGGCUGCUGCUGAUAUUGUGGUUUGGAUUGUUCACCAGCUUGUGGAGCUUGAUACCUAAGAGUAGAGAGGAUCACCACAUUAUAAAAACCAUGACUACCACCUAAGGAAAGAAGCAUUGCAUGAAGUAGACGAGAAAUUGAUUAAAAGGGAACUUUCAGAAAUCCAAGUAUGCUUAUUGCUCGCUGAAUAAAUUGCACAUGCUUAAAACAAGAGAGACAAAUGAACUCACCCAGGAGAGUUCUUAUCUAACUCACUAAAUGAUAAGGUAAUUGUGAUCAUGGAAACUUGGCGGGUCUGUUCCACACUGCAAGAAAUACCAGAUGCUUACAUUCAGUUGCAAACACAAUUAACAGAAAGGCACUUAAAAAGGAAAUAUGAAAUCUACAUCAACAACAGGAAAAUAAUAAAACCAUCAAAUACUCACGGUACAAGUCCUUCCUCAAUAGGUUCCCAGACAUCAGUGAUGCUAACUGAGCUUAUGGCAGUGUCUUGAUGCAAGCGGGGAUUUCUUCUCUGUAACAAGAAAUAUAACAGCUAAUCAGCUCGCAGUCCAAGUGCAGGUUUAGUGUGAAGGAAUACUCAAUGGCCAGACAACCUUUAUGCUCUCAGCAAUAGAAACUGUCUUGCUAAUUGCCUGCCCCAUGGCCUUCAAGACAAUCUCCUUUGCAUGUUUGUCCUAGUAAGAUUCCACAUAUACAAGAUCGGUCAAUUCAUAUUCUGCGAGAGAAAACCACAUUAUUCCCAGCACGACUCAUAGCCUCAGCAAAUGCAUCGUACAUAUUACACACUAACGGAUAGCUUAGACCAUUAGCGAUGUCCAAACUCAAAAAGGAAGACAAUCCAAACACGAUCAGCAACCAAAAUGGAAAGUCAUAAUUCAUUCUCUAGAAUAACAAAUUCUUUUGAAAUGAUUCAAUCCUUAGCAUCCAGAUACAUCCGUUCAUCAAAGGGGAAAAAAAAGAACACCGAAUCUCUUAUGAGCAAAAAACUGGUAACUGGACAACGCAAACGAAGCCACAUUCAAUAAUCGAUUCAAGCUAUAAUCAUCGGAAUGCAGCGCAUCCAAACAUCAACUCCAAACCUAACCUAUUACCUAUCUAAAUCAACACGAAGAAGAUAAAUCGUCAUCCAACGCUCGUAACCAAACCAUCGAAAACAAUCAGACGAUUCCAAAACGGGAAUGCGAAGAUACACGAUGGAUGAAGCUACAGUGUAAAUAAGUCAGUUAGUAGGUAGUACCUGGAGAAGGGAAGUGGCGUAGCUGAUGUAGUUUCUGACGGGACCGGAGGAGGUGAUUCGGAUCUCGUUCUCGUUUAUUGGCGACUCCGGCUUCGGCUUCUCGACUCUGGUGUACCUAUCCAUGGCGGAUUCUGUGUGUCUGUAUUUCGCUCGCUUCUGGUGUGGAGGGAAGAAGGGAGAGGUUUAGAACCCCUUAUAAAACCCUAGAAGAAGAAGACUCACUCACUCACUCUCUUACUGCUCUCUCACACACAGAUUAGCUUAAUGCUCUGCUAAUUUACCGUAUUUAAAUAAAUUAAGUUUUUUUUUAAAUUGUUUUGCUGAUUUUUUCAUAAUAAUUAGUUGCGGAAAGUCUGAAACGUCAUGAGCCCAAAAGGCAACUGUUUUACACUCUUUUUGCGCCACAUUUUCAUAACUGAAAUUUGGAACGGCACCAUUUACUAAAAUUAGUUUCUCCGUUGAUUUAAUAAUUUUAAUUUAGUUUCUCGGUUGAUUUAAGGAUUACAAUUUAGACUAUUAGGAGCUCUAAUCGGUUCUUUAAAAAUUAUUUUGUGUCGGUUGGUUUAACUUGUUGUCUUCAUACUAAUAUCAGCCAAGUACAAUAUUUUGCCACCAGAUCGAUAUACAUGGAUGAAACCGUCCAAGGACAAUUGUAUUGGUCGGUGAACUCUACUUUUCGAAUUCGAAAUUUGUAUUCAUCCUUAUUAGAUAAGGCCUUAUAAAAUGUUUGAAAUGAGGGUACAAUUUGAUCCAAUCAUGUGGAAGUGACAAGUGAGUAUAGCUGGUUUUACGAGGGAUACGAUUUUGAGUUUUGAACCUCUCUUUAUCCUUUACACUAGAGAAAUGACAUUCGAAACGAGUGACUAAGAAGCCUAAUUGCCUAGUCAAAAUAUGUACAACUAUGUUUCGGGCUCUCCAAGCAAUACUAAUAUCAGCCAAGUACGAUAUUUAAGUAUAAGAUCUCCUAGCUCUCAACAGUCGUCAUAUGUCUGCGACAUUGCUCGCGCUAUAAUAUGGAAUCGAGUUCGCCUUAACGAUAAAAUUAUGUCGCCCUUGUUAUAAUUGUUCGGACUUGGACGGUAGAAAAUGAAAAAUGUUGCUAGAACCAUAACUUCAAAGGAAUCUCCUGCAACUAGCUAAGUUUUCGAAACAGAAAACACAAGGCUACAAAUGCUUAGCAGCAGAAGAAUUGAGGUUUGAUGAUCUUGCGGAAUACUCUUUCAUAAGUUUGGAGAAGAAGGAAUCCUUUCUUUGCAGCAACAUUUUCGGGCCAUCAUUCUCAGCAACCCUUCCAGUAAAGAAAAAGAAAUCAGAAUGAAGCAAAGAAAGAGAGAUCAACAGUUAGAAAUACUAUAUGAUCUUACCAUCACUAAGCACCAACACGAGAUCGCUAUCGAUAACCGUAUGAAUUCUGUGAGCUAUUGUCACCACCGUCCGAUCCUGAAACUCUUCGCUUAUGAUCUUCUGCAACGCACUGUCUGUUGCUGAAUCCACCGACGCGGUUGCUUCGUCCAGCACAAGAAUUCUGCUCUUCUUCAACAGAGCUCUUCCCAGGCACAACAGUUGUCUUUGCCCCGCACUCCAGUUCUCUCCGUUCUCCGUCACAGUACAGUCCAGCUUCCGUGCAGGCAUUUCUCUAAUGCCUGCAAAAUUAUUCCUCGUGAAAAAUUUAAAAGCCUAGUACGAGAAAGAAAGAUAGCAUAAUGUAUAUAUAUACCUCCCAAAUUUGCGAGUCUGAGUAGUGGCCUAACGGGUCAAAGUUCGCUCUAACUGUGCCUUCAAACAUGGUUGGGUCCUGGGGGAUGAUGCUCAGCCUGGAUCUCAAGUCAUGGAGUCCGAUCCUCGAAAUGUCAACCGCGUCGACAAUUAUGCUCCCUUCUCGCACUUGUACCAUUCUAAACAACGCCUGUGUUAGAGUCGACUUCCCGCUACCUGUCCUCCCAACCACCCCGAUUUUUUUGCUCCCCGGGAAAGUGCAGCUUACGUUCUUCAACACCGAUGGCAAAUGUUCCGCAAUCGAAUCUGCAAGUCUUUGAAACAGAUAGUUCCUAUGUCGGGCCAGUUAGCUGGUGGUGGUCUGCACUCUUCAAUCGCAACGGGUGAUUCUUCGCCUUUUAAUUUCGUGUACUGUAAAACUCUUUUUACAGAAAUCAUCUUGUUCUCAGUCCUGCAUAUAUGCCGUAUAACCCAAGUCUGGAGAACGUUCAGAUUUAUGCCGUAUGUCACUGCCAGUCCUGCAAUACCUGCAAUGUUUGGGGUUUAGGGUUAUAACUGCAAUUAAAGAAAAGUCAUAAAAUAAUCAGUUGCAUUACUAUUGCUACUCACUUGGACUGAUGAUCCCUUCAGGGAGCGUAACGAGCAGAACCAAAAAGAAAGCAAACACGGAAUUGGACAGCAGAUUCAGCCUGAAACACAACCAUUCCAGAGCGGACACGUUGUGGAACCACUGCCUCGAGUAGUUGUCUAUAAGACCGAGAUUAGACACGAUGAACCUUUCCCCUUGAUCGAAGGUGCGGAUCGUGGCUGCACCAACUAGUGAUUCGGAGAAAUGGUCAAAGUAUUUUACUAUGAAAAUUUGAUCAUUUUUAUAAUAAAAUUUUAAAAUUUUAAAAUCGGCUAAUAUUUGGCAUCCACGUUGGAUAUGGCUAAAAAUCAAGUCUCACUAUGAUAAUCUCUGUAAAUAAUGGUAAAAUGAAGUUAAAAAUUAAUUUUACUUCGUAUUAUGUUAGUGUUGAAAACUUUCAAAUUGACUUAUUUUCUGCAUGUAUGUGAUGAGAAACUGCUAGAAAUCUAAACUAAAUUUUUUCUAGUCGAAAAUACAUACAUUUCCACUAACAAUAAAAAUAAAAACCCUUAAAAUAUUUUUUUUAACUUCAUUUGGCUAUUAUUUGAAGGUUUAACAUGGUGAAACCUCAAUUUUUAGUCAUUCCCAACCUACAUUUCAAUAUUAGUUUAUUUGAGAAUUUUAAAUUUCCAUGUCUAAAUUGGACAACUUCCGUGUGUUAUACUAUGAAAAUUUGACCAUUUUCACAAAAAAAAUAUCAAAAUUUUCCAAAUCAUUUUACCAUACAUUUCAAUACGUACAAACAGUAAUAAACACACAUGUGUUGAUACGAUUCAAUCAUAUGUGCAGUUAUGUAUAAUCCUAGUUAUUCUAGUCAUGAUCGAGUCCACUUUAAUGAUGAAAUUAUUGUACCACACCUUUAAGAGCUAUUUUAGAGCCUCAAGGAGGGCCAACGCCUCACAAUACUCCGUCUCAGACGAACGACCCAACAUAAUAAGAGUCAUGUUGGCCUUGUUAUAUGUGAUUGUCGGGUCGAAAUUAAAAGGGAAGAAUAUAUUACUGAUAAAAGGAUCGUUUGUCAAAUAGUAUGACCGCUGUACUCGACAAUUUAUAAUAUUUUUUUGAUAUGAUUUAAUAUUUCAAUAUAUUAAUUACGAACAUUCGAUAAAUCUACCUAGGUUCCAACCAUCCUUUGGUUGGUUGCAUAACAAAUGAACAGAAUGCCUUUAACUCUAAAUUCUAAACAGUACUUGCACAGACUAUUUUCAUAUGAUUCACUGAUUCCCAUCUCUGCGCAUCUUCAUAGCUCCAACACCACAACUGUUAUGAAUGAGUAAAAAUGAGAAUCAGGUGACAGAAAAACUAAAACAAGUAAAGAUGAACUAGGGCAAAGUAACUAGGCUCUCUACUCACAUUCAGAAUCAGUUGUGAUCCAGUUGCCUUUCCUGUCACAACGGCCAGCAUCAGCAGAACAAGAAGAGGAAGAGGAAGAAGAAGAAGCAGCCAUGGAUAGUGGAGACUGAAAUUGCUAGCACAAUAAGCAGGUAAAUUAAUUAGCUUGUGAUUCAGAAUAUGAGGUUUGCACAAGUUCGGCGAAUCUUAUGGACCGAUUGACAACUGCCCGAUUCAAAACGAUGACCUUUCGUUAGAAGAAAACUCUCGCACAAGAUUUGAUUGUUUGAAAGAGUAUACCUUGUGGUGGCUGAGGAACUUGUCCUGUUUGUGAGACUUAGCACCAGCAGCCCAUCUAACCAGCUCCUUCAUCCUGGAAACGCCUCUCGUUUUGUUUUCUUCCCCUUUCACAUUUCUCUGUCGACCGAUCGUCGGAGUACUGUCUCCGACGACGGGUAGAACUUUUUUACCCACAUGAUGACUACCACCAACUAACUCCUCUUCUUUCUUCUGCUGCUUCUUCUUCUUCAUGUACUGCCUCCACCGCUCUGUUCGAUUCAAGCAAUCAUCUCCGCCGACAGUUUUAAGAUCAAGCGUGCUGUAGAAGCAAUCCUUGGCAACAUCUCGUCUGCACAGAAAUGCAAAGGGGUUGCUGACGUAGUAGUUUCUUGAACCACAAGUUUUCUUCUCCUUCUUAGCUCCUCCUCCUCUGCCUCUCCUCUGCCUCCCGCGGUUUCGGAACAAGACUAUCUCCUGCGCUUUACUUUCUGAAAAAACGAAUGAGAAUGAACGAAGAAUAAUUGAUCAGUUGGUUGAUUAUAGUUACUUCUUUUUUUGGAAGUUCAUGAAGAAUAAUUGAGCUUACUUUUGGUGUUACUGUUGGCUUAUAGUCACAGAAUCAAAUGAUUGGUGUUUUCUCUGUGUUUUGUUUGGAUUGGAGAAGGAGACGAAUUGGAGUUUUGGAAGUGGAAUCUAUUAGAGGAACAGUUUCUGGUUUUGGGAAUCUGCAGAAUUUGGCAGGGGGAGGGGCUGUUUAUAAUGCAUCGAACUCGAAACCUCCGAAAUUAGUAAAAUACUUGGUUGGAUGUGAGUUAGAUACAUAUCGAGUAAUUUUUCUCGUUAAUCGACUAAUUUGGGGAGUCGUAGCAGGCAGUUAUUAAAAGACAGUGAACCAAGCGUCCUUCACAUGUACACGACACUAUUCUUGAAGCAAAAUCAAUGGUUUUCAGAGCCAUAUCGAGACAUCAAAUCGGUGAGUCUAAUGGUAUGCGGUUCAACCGCUUAAUUUGGUUUCUAACCGCACCUUGUUGAUGAUCAGGAGCCAAGGGAUUAGUGUACACUUUUAGGCCAAUGUGGCACCUCUCUCAGCCAUACACUUGUCGAACUGUGGUUCAUUGGAUUCUCUUGGCAUGAUUAAUGGCUUUGUUUUAUAUACACAGCGAUGGAACAUCUUCACUGUCAUUUAAAGUAGGUCAGUUCCAGGAAGGAAUGUUCUGUGUAUGAGUCAUUCUCAGAUGUAAAUGCUGCCUGGGAAUUUGUACAGUUCUAACCGCUGAACUCUCUAGACAUGAGUUAAGGCUUCUGUGCUUGCUUGUUUACAGCCAUGGAAGGUUCUUCCUCGGUAAUCUCACAGAUAUUAAACCGCCGAUCUCGUUGAGUUAUAAUUCGGUCCAAUCAGUGUUAAUCUUUCAAUCCAAUGUGUUUCGCUAUAUGUUUUAAAAUUCACUCCAAAGUUGAAAUUUUGUCCAAGAGCUCCGAAACAAAAACAUGAGAGUCUGUUCAUAUCACAUAGAUAAGACCUUAUUUGUCGAGAAUAAGUUCCAACAAUGUCAAACAAAUUCCAACUAACAAUCAUCAAAACCUUAGGUAUAAUUAGCGUCAAAUUUAACAUAGUUGGAACCUGUUCUCAAUAUCGACACCCCAACUUACUAGGUGAGUAUUGCAGGACGUUGUUCCUUCUUUCAAGCAAACAUACAUUUAUUACAUGGUUUUCGUGUUUGUGGAUGAAAUAGACCUAACAGGAUCUGACUCAGUACUGCAGUUUCCUACCAAGAGUUGCAUCAUUCCAUUAAAUACAGCACCAGUGGGGUCAUAAGUAUAAUUUAUACCUUCCACACUGUUUAGCUCACAGAUCAUUACCGUGGCCAAUUUCUGAUCGUCUCCUUGAUUAUGUGCUUCAGAAAAGAACAAAUCUAGAUCUGCAAAUUGCAGAAGCAAGAUCCAAACUUGGUCCGAACCCAUUUCGGUUUGAACAGAGUAACAACGGUUGCAUUACAAUAAACAUUGAGAAUUAUAAAUUAAUCAAUCCAUAAACUAUACAAUGCAAUGUCAAUCAUCGAAAUCGUCAGGCAUCGGGAUGAUGCCAAUCUUUAUGGAAAAAGAUUCGAACCACUAAGGUGAGAAGCGAGAAUGGAAUGACCAAGGUGACCGAUGUUCCGCUCUGAUCCUUGGCCAGCACAGUUUGUCCUGCCCCAUUUUUACAAAGCAGUUUUCUGCAGGGUUUUGCUGGAACGUUAAAGAUUAUAAUUCGAGCAGAUAACAAAAGUUAUCAUCAAAUGUAAUUUACCAGGGAGGAUAUAUACUCUUUUCUUUCUUGCUUCUUAAGGUUGAUCAGCAGACCUUGUCCGAGAUAAACGCCUACGCCGUCUCGGUACCGGAGAUGCAUCUUCUUCACCGGCAUCGCUCAAUAUACGCAAGUCACCAUCAUCUGCAUCGUCAUCAUCUUCAUCCUGCAGACCCAACAGAUUCUCACCCCAUAGGAAUCUCCGCUCCGGUGGUUGACCUUGACCAGCUCCAGCUGAAGACCUGCGAUGCCUAGUCCAAGCCGCCCUCGAACGAGCCCUCUGAUCGCCACCAUCCACCGACCCCAUCAUCUGAAACAGAAAGAAAGUAGUCCACCACGGCUGAUUAACAUCUCCUCGAUCCCCCCUUUCAGCUCCAUUCUCGAUCACGUAAUCUCCAACGACAACAGCACCGGGAAUGGCCGAACGAACCGCACUGACUAUAUCGCCAUACUCCCUCCUUCGUUCGAUCGACCUCCAAGCUCGUUCCCGGGAUGGAUCGAUGUCCGAUGGCCGAGUUGUCGGGUGGAUCCUCCUCGCGUGCCUACGAAGCUCCUGGUAGUUGCCGGAGUACGAACAUGAUUCUCUAGAGCAGCUUCGCCUCUUCGAGUUUAGAUAGUUUCUCGCCUCCUCUACAACUUCCCAUCCUAAUACAGCUCCCCGGCACAGCGGACAAAUCAGACUGAAUUCGGAUUCCGUCGAUUCAUUGUUCAAGCUUUGACCUUCAUUGACAUCAAUGGCAUUGGUUCCCAAAGUUAAGCUAGUAUCAGAAGUAGAAGCGUUGACGGUUAAAGAAGUGGGAAAAGUUGCUGCAUUCCUAGGAAUCUCCUGUAACUUCUUAAAUCUAUCCAAGCAAUUCGAAUGCCUAUAACUGGUAUCACAAAUGUAAGAAUUGCAGCCCUUGUCAUGGGAGCUGCAUAGGAGGAGGACAGCAUUAUGUGGAUAGUCCAUACAAAUGGGACAUGAAACCUCUUCCAGUUCUUUGUGCAGGGCAUGCAUAUCAGAAUCAGAAUACAGCCUUCUUUUCACACCAGUCAUCUUCAAUGCACUGUAAUAAUUUUCUCAGCACAUGAACUAUUAGAAUGGACCACUAUCAACAAAGCAUCAAACAGUUUUCUUAAUCAAGAACAGAACUCAGGUAGCAAGUACAUCAGGCAGCAAAAACAGUACUUUCAUACCGCCUCAGUAUGCAAGUUUUACCAGAUAAUAUAAACAGUUGUUCAAUUUACAGGUGUAUAUGAACAAGCUACAAUCAAGAAGGCUUUCAGAAAGAAUGGAUGUACAACACAGCCUUCCACAUUUGAUGCAUACUAGUUUCAUAUGCACUACAUGGCUGGGAUAUAAAAGAAUGAAGAUCAUAAUACCGAUAGAGAUCGGAAAAUAUUUGGUUGAACUUUUUACUCCUCUUCAAUCAUAAGGAGUCGAACCUCCAAGCAUCGAAGAAUUUAAGCCAGUUGUACCAUCAGUAACAUUAACACUUUGUUUUACAUCCAAUAGGGAAUCUAAUUCUGCCAUGAACUAACUAUUUCAAAAACUAAAGGGAAGAUUAAAAAAUUAUUUGCAGAAAGCUACUAGCAAAUUGUGAACAGACCCAUGUGACCUCAUUACAACAAGCAGCAAAACACAAUCUGCUGCAGAAUUCUAACAUGUUGACAGGUAAAAAGUUAAACCUUCGGUCAGUUGUUGAAACUAACUGCAUAUGUACUUACCACAAGCAGGAAGCCUAAUCGAUUUCCACUUGUGAUGCUUCGAAACGUCUACUUGUAUAAUCAACAGAAACUACGAAUCUCUUUAACUGAAUCUACAACGACAACCACAAUCAACUUCUUCAAGAGGAUAGGAGAAGUUAACCAGCAGCCCCUUUAGUCUUACAACUUCAAAGAGUAGAGCUUUCAGUUAACAAUGCACAGUUCCCACAAAAUUUUUUAACCAACCAAGAAAAAACGAUCUGCAACAAUAGCCACAAAGAAAACAAACAUCCAUGUGAGUAAAGAUCCUCAUCAGAUGCUUCCCCGUAUCAUUAGAGGAUCUAACAUAUUUAAGGAUUGAAAAGCCACACAAUCAACUGGAGAUCAUGCUUAAAGCCAUGUACUAAUUGUCCAGAUCAUCACCAAAAUGAUGGAUCCUUAUACACCAUCAAGAUCUUAAUAUCAAUAACAUAAUCUGUUUACCAUCAAUGCAAAUCCAUAGAAACAGCUAAAAAUAUCACAUAAACCCCAAAUCCAACCGACCCCUCUGAUUCAAACCCUAACCCUAAUCCAAAUUGAACCUAGUACCAAACCCCUGAGAAACAUUAGAAACUGAAAUUGAAAUCAACAGGCAUCUAAUUGAGGAACAAAAAGGUCAGGAUCGGGGAUCAAUUACAGGAAAUCCCUUAACAACAACCAAUUGAUUGAGAUUAUUAUGUGCAACUAUGGCGAUUGAAAGGCGGAGGAAUUACAGAAAACGGGGAAUCGGAUUCGUCCACUUUCUGAUUGAUCUGCAAUAGGGAAGAUAUAGCGUGAAAAGGGUAUAUCAUGGAAUGCGUCGAAAACCGAAAUUGAGAAGAAGAAAUGGUGGGUGAAGGGUGCAAGUUCGUGGAAGAAGUAACAUAAUUUUAUAGAAGAAGACAAUUUAGUUUUUGCUUUUUUUUUCUGUUUAAUUUCUUUGGAUUGAUUUUUAAUAAUUUUUUUUAAAGUAUUUAAUUAAGCAUUUGUUUUUAAGCCGCCAUGAAUUAGUAAUAAUAAUGUAUCCUUUGAAAAGAACAAUUUCUGAAACAUAAUGAAUUAUGAUCCAUUUUUAAUUCUUAUUCCGGGUUUCAGACACACUAAAUAUACAGUACAAUAUAUGUAUUCCGCCUUUUUGCAAUCAUGAAACUAUCCAUUAGUGACACACAUGACUCUUAUAUAUUUUUCAAAAGUGUUAUCAUUAAUCCUCAUUCAUUAGAUUGCUAAUUAGACUUUAUACGUACUUACUUUUUUUUUCCUCCGAAAAAAGCUACCUCAUAGUUGGUGGCUCUCUAAUGUGAUGGGAUGUGAUGUGAAGUCAAUUAAUUGUAUUUUGUAGUUUGGUAAACACCCAAAUAAAUACUUUGGAUUUCCAACUAUAUCAACAAUAAUUUAAUUUCCUCUAAACAUCACAGUUAAACAUUAAUUACCACAAUCCCUGAAGUCUUUCUAUAUAUUUUCUAAAUUGGGCUGCUAGCCUCCUUGGGCCCAAUUAAAUAAAGUCGGACAAUGAAGAGUUACAAAACAAAGCCCAAUAAAAAUCACAAGAUUCCCCGCCACGUUCACUCAAAACUACGUCGAAUCAUUGUAAGAUGAGUCCACCAAAUCAAAGCCGACUCCGUUCUGCAACUCCUCCUCUGCCGCGCUUCGGAUUCUUCUUCUUCUUCUUCUUCUUCUUCAGCUUGUUGCUUGCUUUGCUCCCUGUUGGAUCGCCAUGGCUAACAACCCUUCGCAGCUGCUUCCAUCAGGUCUUGUUCGCUUCCUAUUUGGUUUCUUAAUGGUGUACUUUCUUUCAUUAUGAACUAACCUUUUUUUCCCUUUUGGGUGGCGCAGAGCUGAUUGAUAGGUGCAUAGGUUCGAAGAUAUGGGUGAUAAUGAAAGGAGACAAAGAGCUUGUGGGAACUCUUAGGGGAUUCGACGUCUACGUCAACAUGGUCCUCGAAGACGUCACUGAAUAGUGAGUCAAUUUCCCGCCUCCUGCUUCCUCCUUGCCAGAAUUAGGGUUUAAGAGUUGGGAUUAGGGUUUUUCUUCAGCUGUUCGUGAUUAUGUUUUCGAAUUGAGUUUGUCAAACAGUGCUUUUUCCUUUGGUAAAAUCGGCCUUGUCCAUUAUUCAUUAGAGCAUAAGUUCAGUUUUCGGAAUUAUGUACUUUGUUAUUUGGUUAUGGAUGAUGGAGUAGGCAUCUAGAGUUUGAGAUGACGAUUUCAUCAUUGAUCUUAAAGAUGGAGUAAUUUGCUCUGGAUAACACGGCAUGAUUAGAUUUAUGUAUCGGAUGCCACUAUAUGAAUUUAUAUGUAUGAAUCUGUUCAUGUUUAACCUCUGCUUUCAUUUCACAUUGUGGCUCGGGUUUUGUGGUUUUCAUGAUUGGUAAUACCACACUGUUGACGUAAACUACUUGCGCAAACUUGUAAAUCCACCUUUUUACUAGCUAUUCGUCUGUGAUGGAGAAACUAAGAGUGCUUGCUAAGGCUUUUUUGACAGUUGGUUUGCGUAUUUGCUUUUAAUGUGUCCUUGCUUUCAUUCAGUGAAAUCACUGCUGAAGGUCGGAGGAUAACGAAGCUUGACCAGAUAUUGCUCAAUGGAAACAACAUCGCCAUUGUAAGUUAUACCAUGUGUUUUCUCCUCUGCAGAUAGUCUUCAUGGUAUUCCUGUCAUUGAAAAGCUUAUCUGAUGAUGAGUCGAUCAUGCCAUUUACCGAAUUUGCAGAAGCUUUUGCAUUCUGCAUCUUCCCCCCUUAAUUUAGAAAUUUCAAUAAUGAAAAGCUAGGUUAAGUUUAGUUGACAUGCAUACAUAACCUUUCUGGACUAUUGGUAAUAUGAUGUUCAGAUGAAUUUAAGCCAAUUGCACGGCAUUGCUCCAAUCUACAUGAACACACACGGUAUCCCAAAAAUCCCCAUAUCUUAUUGUAACACAACUUUAACGAAUUUGGCAUUGUUUCAAGUGCUUGUUUAGCUGUUUAGUCUAACGUUGGGUUAUGAAGCUUCAAACAUAUGAUUAAACGGUGAAUUGUUCUGAAAUUGCAGUUGGUUCCUGGUGGUUCUCCUGAUCCAGAAUGAGAGCUUCAGUCGGGCCUUUCUCUGUUGUUUGGUUCUUGUGAUCUGACUGAGGGCAGAGAAGCUCUUCUGGGUUUUUAUUGAGAAAGUUGAGCAAAGUUCACUGUGGCCCUCCUUCCCCCGCCAACGUACUCUCUAUCUUUGUAGCAGUUUUUUUAAUUCUCUUGUGGUUGUUCGUAUCAAGUCGGAAUAUGGGUACCAACUUGUUGAUUGUAUUUGAACUGGGCUAUUAACUAUCUUAGCCGUGAGCAAAUUUGUCAAGGGCAAUGAAGGUUUGAUGUGAAAUGGAACGCGUCUUCGAACUCCGCACACUAAUGGUUUGAUGCACCUUUUCGAGCACACUAGCUAGAUCUAUUUUAUGUUAAUUGCAAAAUCCGAAAAAUUUGUACCAACUUGGAGCAUUAGUAGUAGGCACGUAAUCGAAGCAUCCUCGGCCGACGUUUGGUAUACACGUACAUACCGAGGGAAUGCUCAUUAUAUGUUCUAUGACAUUUUGUAUUCAGCAGCAGAGGAAAUCAGUAUAUAUAUUCUGUUACUUUAGCGCGGUCAUUGCAUCUUUAGUGCUGCGGAUGACUGGGCAGUUCUCAUGAGCUUUUGGGCGUGGUUGCCAAGAAGCCUCUGGACAACGAGAUUGUAGUUGGGUCGUCGAUAGCUUUAGACGAAUAUGUGGUGACGAAUCAUUCAUCGUGUGUUAACCUGGGUCGUGGCCCUAUCGAGACUAUUAAGACUUAUCUAUCAUAAGAUGGUGGAUGAAACAUUCUUAAUGUAGAGUUAUUGUCAGGAUAUGAAUCUUUUCGGUGCCCAAAAGACAUGGCUCAGUCACUCCUUGUGGACUUCUUCGUUAUAAAAAUGUCAGAAGGGUGAUAAUUGUAAAAACAAAAGACUACAUGGACUAGAAAGGAUAUUUAUUCCGCUAGUUGGUUCGAAUCGAAUCUUAAGUCCUUAACAGAAGUUUCUACAUAAGAAAAAGAAAAAUUGCGGGAGGAGAGUGGGAAUUUGGCGGAGGCGACCGGUGCCGGCGACAUUAGAUUAUUCCCGGCGAACGAACCAAUUCUGCAAAGCCACAGCUAAAUCAGAUCAAAGCGUAAUUCAAGGGCGGUGGAGAAUGAGCUAUCUACUGCCGAAUCUAACCAAGAAGAAGGAGAUCGACUCAAUAAUCAGGGACACCAUUGACAAGGUCCUCGUCCUCCGGUUCGGCCGCGCUUCCGACGCCACCUGUCUCCAGCUCGACGAGAUCGUACGUCUUCUUCGUCUUCUUUCCAUAGUCUCUCUCUCUUUCUCUGUACAUUUUCAGCUGAGGAAUCUAUGUUUCCCCCCUGCAGCUGUCGAAAUCAGCGAGGGAGGUCUUCAAGUUCGCGACAGUGGCAGUCGUGGACAUGGAUUCCGACGAUGUGCAGGUCUACGUCAAGUACUUCGACAUCACUCUGGUUCCUUCCACUGUAUUCUUCUUCAACGCUCACCAUAUGAAGAUGGAUUCCGGGUAUCUCCUCCCGAUUGUUCUCUUGUUCUUAUCAGUUUCUCGUUGAAGUUGAGUGUGAUUUUGUUGUUGGUUAAUUUGCUUGUGAUUUUUCUAUGAUUCAAUCAGGACUGCUGAUCAUACCAAAUGGAUUGGUGCAUUUCACACCAAGCAGGACUUCAUUGACGUCGUUGAGGUACUGGCCAUUCUUCUUCUUCUUCUUCCCAUUUAUGUCUUUUGAAUUUUUCCAGAAUCUCCAUAGUUAUGCUGUUAGCUAGUUAGUUGGAUCAAACAACUCGAUGAAUAGGGAGUCGAUUGGAAGUGAAAUCGAGGAUUUAGAUUAACUUAAACACCAUAAAGUUAUGCCAAUUCUGCAUAAUCCUAAAACUAUACUAUGUUCAUGCUUUUUCUCUGCGACUAAUGCGGAUUACAGGAAAGGUAGCUUCAAAUUUUCGAAGUAUGGCCAUUUCAUCAUAGUUUCUGAUCAUAUUCAGAGGAGACAACUAGUUGUUAGAACUAAGAACAUCACUCUGCACUAAACAUUUGCAGUUCUGGUGAAACCUUGUUAGACAAACUAUUCCGCCUGGUCAAUUCUCAAGCUGCUAAGGGCUAUCAUCGCAUACUGUACACAGUUGAGCUGUUCGAUAUAGUUAGCGGGAUCGUAAACUGGAUGAUUGUUUAAAUAACUUGUUGAUAUUAAGGCUGACAAUGGUGAAUAACUGGGGUUCAGCUGACCUGUGCGUGGGUUUGAUCGCACACUUGCUCAUUUGUACUGCCUUACUACUAUUUUGUUGCAGGCCAUAUUCAGAGGAGCCAUGAAAGGCAAGCUGAUAGUGAGUUGCCCAUUGCCCCCUGAUCGAAUACCCAAGUAUCAGCUGUUUUACAAAGAAGUUUAGAGUUUGGCUUCGUUCGACUGUAUUCGUUUCUGGACUCAUUUAUGCAGCUGUACCCUAACAGAUUAUCAGUCUGCAUCCCCUAAGCUAGUUUAUGUAUGGAGAGAAACAGUUCUGAACACUUUGUAAAUAUACUUUCUAUUUCUUAUGAAGUUUUCCUUCGUAUACAUAUGAAAUAAAAUUCUGAACAAGUAGAACACGAAACAAGAACGUUUCAUUCAUUUAUUGCUAAUGGUUCAUACUCGACUGCGCGAAUAAGUGGUAUAUUGUGUUCACAAUCGUAGAUGUCCAUUUCAUGGCUACGAAACAACAACAGAACUACAAGAUCUAGCGAGCAUCCUUUGAUAGGAGGGUGCCACUGGUUCCGACAGAUCGGGCAUUACAGAGCUCGUCGACACAGUCUCCUCGUUCGAAAACAGCUGCCGCCCCCAUUCCUGUGCCUGCAGUUGGUGCAAAUUGUCAGUUCAAGCAAUUGCAAGAUGCGUGACAUGGGUUUUGGAAGAUGAGAAAACAAAUUUGAGACUGGUACCGUACCGAUGCACAUUGAGAUGACUCCGAAACGAGAGUCUCUUCCACGGCGCUUCAUCUCGUGCAAAAGAGUGGCGACGCAGCGAGCACCUGUAGCGCCCAAAGGGUGGCCGAGAGCCAUUGCUCCACCGUUAACAUUGACCUUGGCUGGGUCAAGCUCUAGCUUCUUACGGCAGUAGACGAACUGGGAUGCAAAUGCCUGAAACAGAAGAACAAGAGAUUGUUAAGAUCAUGCACUUCGAUAACCCUCACACUAAACUUCAAACCCUUUACCUCGUUAAUUUCGAAGAGGUCAAUAUCUUGAAGUUCCAAUCCAGCAGCUUUCACUGCUGCUGGAAUCGCAACAGCCGGACCUAUCCCCAUCACAGCAGGAUCCACUCCAACAGCAGCAAAACUCCUGAACAGUUAACAAAUCCACAUUGCUUUAAGGUUUAAGCCCGAGUUUGAACUGGUAAAUUCAAGAAACUCAAUCAAACUAGCAUUGCAGAAAGUUAUGCACCUGAGCACACCAAGAAUGGGAAGGCCCUUCUGGAUGGCCAAGCUUCUCUUCAUUAGGAGGACUGCUCCAGCACCAUCACUCACUUGGCUAGCAGUACCUAACAUCAAGGUAGCAAUUAACUAUUAAUCCACGAUGCCUAGUCGAUUUUGACGAUGACAAUUUUCGAUGGGGCGUCAAAUAAUUACCUGCAGUUGUAGAGCCAUCCUUUUUGAAUGCAGGUUUCAGCUUGGCAAGGCCUUCAAGGUUUGUGUUUGGUCGGAUCCCGUCAUCAACAGAGAUAGUCACGGGAGUUUCAUUCCCAGUUUUUGGGUCAAUGACCUUUACACAACCAUCACAAAUAAAAUUAAGGCAAUAAACUAACGGAAGAAUAUGAAAAGAAAUACAACAAUUUUCUAGUUUACCUUGGUAGAAACUGGGAUAAUCUCAUCUUUAAAUUUACCAGCGGCUGUUGCGGCAGCAGCCUUCCUAUGAGAGUCGACCUACACAUAAAAUGUUAAUUGCACGAAGAACAUUCUAAAUUAUGCUUCCAUAGACGAAUCAUAGAAAAGAAAUUGCUUUAUUUUACUCACAGCAGCUUGAUCUUGCUCUUGUCUUGUUACCCCAUACCGCUGGGCAAUGUUUUCGGAAGUAAUGCCCAUAGGAAGAAGGCAAUCUCGGGCUUGAACAAAGCUCUCAACCUGUUAAGAUUGAGUCCCCUUUAAAAACUAACAAAUAAGAGAAGGUUUACAAUCAUUGAUUCUUCAAACUAGCUGUAGGCAUUAUAUACCCUGGGAUUAGCUUUCUGAACUCCUCUGAUAUUGUCAAUUGUCAUGCACUCUAGACCAGCUCCAAUUCCUGUUUGGAAGCACAGAAAUUAGAAGUUAAGUACUUGAGAAAACCACAGGUUUGGGUCUACAUAAGAAUAGAAGUUCGAAAUUCUAACUACUGACACUUACCAAUGUCAUAAAAUCCUGCUUUGAUUGAAGCAGCAACAUCAGCAACGGCCUGCAGCCCAGAAGAACACUGCCUGUUGACUGUUCUAACAGGCACAGUUUCUGGAAUGACAAAAUGUAGAGGAAUCAGUUUCAUAACUUCCAACAUGCUUCUAAUAACUCUAUGACUGGAUCUCAAAGUCCAGUGAUGAGAGAUCCCAAAGAGACAGUUCAAAGAUCUAGUAAACUUCAGUAAAGAACUAAUUUUUGCUUCAACAAGAAGUGAAACUCGGACCAACCAUGGAUAAAUUAACAAAGCUAGAAUUACCAGGGAAACCAGCAUAGAAAGCUGCCAUUCUGCACUCAGUUGCUCUCUGAGAGCCAGGAGCUAGAACUGUACCCACCACUAUAUCUCCCACUUCACUUGGAUUCACAUUCGUUUUCUCUACCACUGCCUGCAAGGAUCUUACAUAAGGCUAUGACAAUAAAAAGCAAAAUGAAAGCAGACUGAUAAAUCCCAUUUUCUGAGCAAACCUUAAGAACAGGGGCGAGUAAAUCAUCAGGAAGCGUAUCCUUGAACCCACCGCGCCUGGAUUUGCACAAGGCAGUUCGAUACGCACUGCAAAGUCAACAAACUAGGUUCAGGCAUUUCCACAAACACUUAAUACGCAAGAACAUAAAACAACAGAAAAAAGGUACUGACGCCACAAUCACGAUGUCGUCGCCAAAUGAUGCAGCUCCACCGGCGCAAGCUGAAGCCUUCGGUAAGCAAUUAAGCGACCCAGUUGCGAAACAGAAGAUAAAUUAGACAGUGUAAAAUUUAGCGGGAUCCAAGGAUUUAGGAGGAAAGAAUUCUCAUUUCUCACGGAGAGGAAGGGUGAUUCAUGAUGGGAUUGAGUCCGGGAGCUGGGUUGAAGGUGAGCUAGCAGAACUUUCUGCCGAUUGAUCGCCUUGUCCAUUUCUGCGCUGUUCGACGACGCGGGAGAGAGAGUUUACUUCUUUGGUAUUGAAGUUUGCGAGAGGAGGAGACGGGAACUAUCCUUGUAUAAAUGGAGAGGGCCGACUGACUGACUGACUGAUUGGAUUUCGGAGGAGAAGAAUCGUUUUCAGAAGAAGAGAAGGAAGGUGGACUGAUCUUUCAGUGGAAAUUUCGGAGCCAACAAUGAGCACAGAGCAGGCACGUUUCGAACACGUAACGGUUGUCGUUCUUCUUGUCCUGAUCUACUUUUAGGCCAAUGGCUAAUUACGGGUGGAUUUCCGGUUAUGAUUGACAAAUAAAUUCGAUUAAUUGGUCGAUUAAUUGAUUAAUCGGAUGACUUUGGUUGGUCAAUCAAUCAAUUUAUAAGAUGAUCGCUUUCGGAUUUGGAGCAACCAAAAUAAACUCUCAUAUUUACACAUAUUCUAACCAAAACUGACCUACUUCGAUAAUUAGCAGUUAAUUACUUAAUUAUUCCUAUAUCGGUCUCGAUUAGUAAAAUAUUUUUAAUUUUUUAUAUAAUCCUAAUUAGCCAAUCGUAUGUGAUCGGUUAUUAACUGCUUAAACGACUCCCAUCAGUAUGGCUAAUGUUAUGUAUUGGACUAUGAUUUGCACACUUUUCCAAAUUGUAUGAGGAGCGAAGUGGGUGAGUUUAAUGACAUGUGUUCAAUAGAUCAAAAUCGCUUUGUACGUAAAUCAUAUCUAACUGAAUCAUAAUUAUAUUGAAAUUAUAUCAAACUGUUUUGACGGAGUUUCUCAUGUCUAGACCGUCUAUACCGGUUCAAUGGAUCAUAUAGUUUGACACCACCAGUUCAACCUACUCUCUGAUCCUGAAAACCAUGGUUACUCCAUGGAUAUAUUUAUAUUGUGUCGUUAAGGUUUCUGAUAACACAAAUUAUAACCUAAUAUCAGGUUGUCGAUAACGUGAGCAGGCUGAACGAACACAACUUGGACACAAUAGGAAGAACAAAACUAUUAACAGACAGCAGCGCCAUGGUAGAAACACAAGAGGAUCCCCAACCGAAAAAAAAACUCAAUUACAGACCGAGAUCAUGGUAACAAAUUACUCGAUUUGGAGAAGAAAGCAGAUCAAAUCUUGUUAGUUUUCUGCCUGUCCAAAGUAUCUGCCACAAACAGUUGCCAAAACAUUCAACAUCACAACCUCAUCAUCCAACUCCGACUUCCCUGCUCGUAGGCUCGCACAUUUCCUCAGCAGACUCCGAAUCGCAGCACUCGUAUCAGCCAGCAAUGGAGUAUCAACCGCUGCACACAGAGCAAACAGCCACAUGCACUCACCCUUCGAUAACUUACUCGCCUUUUCCGCCAAGCUUAUCCGUUUCUUCAAUGACGAAACUCGAGAAACAGAAUCCAUCGCUCGCACAGCCGAUGACGUUGGGAGAAUCAACAAACUCUCAUCGACCUCGGCUUUAGUUGUUUGAUCAUUAGGAUACUCUUCAUCUCUUGCCAACGACAGUCUUAGUUGCGAAAAAUCUACGAGAAAUGCAUCUUCCCAAGCUUUUGAAGGCAGUAGAUGGUCUGGACACUUGGGAAUAUCAGGAAUCUGAGGCAUAUACACGCUUUGCUCUUUACUGAUCGUAUGCUUGUCGAUUUUUGCCACCUUCACUUUCGGGAUUUGGGCAGCUUCCCACCUGACUCGUCUAAGAUACUCUAAUCCAUCUUCUGGAGGCCCCGACUCGAAAUCCGGUUCUCCUUCUACAUAAAAAGCUGGUCUUUGAAUGCUAGCAUAAUCAUCAUCAUCAUCACUAUCAUCUUCCUCCACGACCAAUUUGGGAUCAGAGUUGCUAUGCUUGGUGUUUGAGCAUGACAAAUCCUCAUACUCCUUCACAACCGCAGCUUCUAACCCGUUGUAUACACGUGUCCAGAAGUUCCUCUGUUCCACAAUGUUCGAAAACCUCAUGGCCUCCAUCUCUAUCCUCGAGUACUUCGGGGAACCGUCGAUUGGACAUGAACUGUUGUUAAUAGCCUGAUUCGUUCUUGUUUGAUCUUUCUCCAAACCCUUGAGCAAAUCCUUUCCCUUCCUUCUUCGCCUUCUGAUCUUCUUUUGAUUCUCACAGACGACUAUCUCUGCUGGUUCAUUAGAUUCAGCGAAUCCAUCGGAACUGCCAUCAUCAACAUCUUCGAAGAAGCUCUUUCCUUUAAAGAUGGCUCCACCUUCGAGGCUGGCCAACAAUUGCUUCUUCUUAUCCUCCAACAAGGUUUCUGAAUCCAUGAAUUCGAGGCAGAGAUUGGGAAGAAACUAGAGAGGACUCAGAUUUUACUAUGGGGAAUUCAAACAAUCAGAACAAUAUUGGAGUUGCCCAAACAAUAAUCAUUAAUCCGACCUAGCUAAUCGUAUAACCUGGAGCAUCCAACAAUGGAUUGCGUCAUUAUCCUUUGAAUCUCGGUGAUCCCCAUGGCGGCAGAAAUCUUCAGUGUUCUUUCCUAGAUAGGGUUUAAUGGAGGGAGUGUGAGGGGUUUUCUUCGUUUACUGAAAACCCUCUUCACUGUAUCAGUAAAGUCCCGUCCAAGUAAAAAUUUGAAGCUCGGUCAAAGCCAAUUCGGAGAGAAAAUGGCGACGCCACCACCCAAUUUCGAAGGAAACCCGAUGCCGCCGCCGCCUCCACAGCCGCCGGGAACGGACAUGACGGGGAUGUGUUUCAGAGACCAGCUAUGGCUCAACUCUUACCCUCUGGAUCGUAACCUAAUCUUCGAUUACUUCGCCCUGUCGCCAUUCUACGACUGGAAUUGCAACAACGAGCAGCUCCGGAUGCGCGCAAUCCACCCUCUCGAUCUCUCCCACCUCUCGUGAGUCUCUCAACCUUUUCCCCCUCAUUCUCAAACUUCGAUUCGUCUGGUUUUUUGGAGGCGAUGAGAAUUGAGAAAUUUUGUUCCCUUUUCCAGUAAGAUGACGGGAUUCGAGUACAUGUUGAGCGAAGUGAUGGAGCCUCAUCUGUUCGUGAUGAGGAAGCAGAGGAGGGAUAGCCCUGAGAAAGUAAUUCCAAUGCUGACUUAUUACGUCUUGGAUGGCUCCAUUUACCAGGCGCCUCAGCUCUGCAAUGUCUUCGCUUCUCGAGUUGUAAGCUCUCUUUAACCUUUUUUUUCCGGUUCAUGAUUUCGUUCAGACUGCAUUCGAAUUUUCGGUUGACUUCGGUUGUCAAGGAACCUUUGGCCUGAUUACAGUGCGGAUUGGCUGGUCAUGGUUUUUGCAGGGGCGAGCAUUGUAUUAUAUAUCGAAAGCUUUUACUACGGCUGCUUCAAAGUUGGAGAAGAUCGGAUAUGGUAUUGACAUUCCUCUUAUUUGAUUUAGAUUACUCUGUGUCAUCUGUUGUUGUGCUUGUAUGGCUAGUUAGAAGAGUGCGUCUAUACUUCAAACUGGAAGAGUAGUGUACUCUCGGGUUUAUUGGUGUAGCUAGCUAGCUCUGAUUAAUGAGUGAAUGCCAGAAUGCAAGGUCUUCUCUGGUGCACUGACUGAGAUCUUAGGAAAUCAUAUGUUGAGCUUACUGUGGAGUUUUUAUUACCAAGCAAGAAUGGCAUCGGUCAGGGAAAUAUCUUUUGCUUGGUUGGAUUGACUGCUUGGUGUAAUGUAUCAGUAGGGAUUGGAUUCUUUUGGUGCUCAAUGGAGUUAUCCUCGAAGCAAGUAAUAGGAACUCUAAAUUCUUAUUUGCUUCCUUAGUUAGUACAACUAAGUUCGAUUUCUGAGCAGUUUGAUGGGUACGAUUUCGAUGGAAUGUUUUCUUGUGCUCGUGUUAUGUUCAGAUGAUCUGUUCUUUCUUCUGUUAGUUUGCAUUUACUUCCCACUGUACGAAAAAUGAUUGACUAUGAGAUCAUUUCCUGAUGAUCACAUCUCUCCGCGCAUAAUAUUCACCUAUGUUGCUAUUUGUAACAUUAUUUUUCCUGCAGUUGAAGCUGAAGGCGAGGGUGCAGCACCUUCGGAGCCAAAGGCUACUAAAGAUGUAAUCAACUUCAAGGAAGUUAAGAGAAUCGAUCAUAUCCUCGCCUCCUUACAACGCAAGGUAAACUUCCACUUACACAUGAUUGGUCCAUCUGCUUGUCUGUAAACAAACUGGUAGUCAUCAGAGAGCAAUAGAAAGAGAAAUAUGUGCCAGAUUCUUACUAUAACCAGCAUAACUCAUCAUUAGGUUCCAAUCCUCACCGCUAUAUUUUGUCGGUGUUCUGCUCUAAUGUUGCUGCAGUUACCUCCUGCUCCACCGCCGCCACCAUUCCCUGAAGGGUACGUACCCCCUGCAACGAGCGAAACAGAGAAAGCAGGCGAGGGUCAACAACAAGGAGGAGAGACACAACAGCCCCCUCCAGUAGAUCCAAUUAUUGAUCAAGGUCCAGCUAAGAGAAUGAAAUUCUGACAGAACAACAUGCCAGGAAGAUUCCGUCCUUUUUUUAUGCGUCCCUUGUGCCGCAAGGAACCAUAAUCCCACAGACGAGAAAGAAUCUGAGUUGGAGGUCAUUUGCUUGCCUCGCUCUGUUACUUAGAUGUUUAACCUUGGGAUUAUUGGAUCCUAUAUAUCAAGCUGAGGCCUCCUCCUAAACUCCUGCUAAUCGUUGAUUAUUAUGUAGCUAAAGGACUUAUGAUUCGUAUUUUCUUUUGUAUAUGACAAGAAGAACUGCAAAAUUUAGCCUUCACCAUGUGCAAGUAGAAAGUUUUGAAGACGUGUAUUUUUGACCUGGACUAGCAAAUCAUUGCACCUGUACCGAGUAGAUUUGGUUUGUUUGUUUAAUAUGGGCGUUUAUUUUCGAUAUUAGCAGCCAAUUUCAUACCAACGCAAGACAUGCACAUACAUACUGAUAUCUAUGCCAUGUUUAUUUUCCAUCUUUCAUUUUGUAUUUGAUCGAAAGAAAAUAAAAUGUAUGUAGAACAAUUGAUUUAGCUCUUUUAAUGAAAUCAUAUAAAACUCACUUUAAAUAUUUUUUUAAUAACUUCAGUUCCUGAGAUGUAAUGGUUGAUGAAUUUAUAAUAAUUUAAACCGCUAAGUUGGCCUGAAAAAAAAAUUAUAUAGUAGUUUAAAAAUAUUAUAUUUAACCUUAUUCGCAUGUUUAAAGGCCUUUUGAGUUUAGUAUCAAUUUUGUUAGGAAAAAAAAGAUUAAAGUUGUUCAUGAAUUAACGUGACGAUAAAUUGUCCGUACAUCAUUGUAUUUGAAAAAUGUAUCCUUACUUGACUUAUUAAAGCUCUUCAAACAUCAUACCUAUUGGCACUCCAUUUGAUUUCACUAUGCUUGAUUUGAAAGAAAAAAAAAUAUUUAACCAUUAAAUAUGUAGUUUUUAAUUUAGUUUCGUAAACUAACAAGUAACAACGAUCGAGCAGCGGAAUCGAUCAGCUGGGCGGCUCACAGACCCGUCAACCACCACCCUCAUCCGGUCGAGACAGAACGUGCACUCAUCAACCUUCUCGUCCGGAUGCUUUCCAGUUUUAUAGUUCGCCAGCCAAGCAGCCAGCCAGCUGAGCUCCACAGAAAGAAUAAAGAAACAAGAUAGAAAGAAAAAAAUAAAGUAAAAGAGAAGGAAGUGUUUGAAAGGAAAUUCCGCCACUUACAAAGUGCUGGGAGAGGGAAGCGAAUGCACGCAGAUCCGAGCCAGAACUCCCCCUGAAUCGCCAUUACAAGCAAGCUAUGACGGAGUCGGCGGAGCAUCGCCGCAACUCCUCGUCUUCCUCGUCUUCCUCCGCUUCCGUCGAUGUCCAGGUACCGAGUUCCAAGUCCGAGAUCGGAGGUGCAACCUCCAGCGGCAACGGUGUCGAAGUGAAAAUUAGCGGUGAUGCUGCUGCUGCUGGCGGCGGCGGGAAUUCAGUGAAUGACGGAGGUAAAACUGAUCGUUGAAAUUGCGUUUUACUUUACUUGUUGCUAUUUCGCGAGAAUUCCAACUGUUUUUCCCUCUGUUUGAUCAACUUUGAAUUCUUUGAUUCUUUUUCGAAUCUUAGUUUUCAAUUUUGCGUUUCUGUUGCUGAGUUUUGUUACACGGUCGUUGGAGUUCGUCGUGACUGAGACAGCGAGUUCUGGUCAAUGCUCGGUCAAUUUGUUUUCUGUUACGGUGAUCGCUUUGAUAGGCGCUACUAGAUGUAGGAAUUAGUUCUGCAGAAAGAAACGACAGAUUUUUUCCAUGUAGUAUUGAUCAUUUUGGCGCUACCGUUAUUUGUUCUAAGUCUCUCUGUUCCGUAAUCAACAAUUCAUGUGCUGAGAGAAGAACUAGUACCUUUCGGGAUGGACUUGAACUGCAAGCUCUACUGGUUUGUGAGACAAUAUUUGACUGGUUGAGAAGUUUUCAUCGCUCCUCGGAUGUGACAUGGCGUAAGGUCUUGGUUGACAGUAUGGCUGCUAUAUAUAGCGAAGUACAAAGAGAAACCUACCUUUAUGCAGUUCCUAAAGACCAUGCCAUGAAAUCAGGACACUAGUGUGUGUCUAACUUGGAACCUUUAUUCGUGUAGUUGUGGUUGUAACAUGGAGCCUUAAGAGAGUCAUUGUUAGAGAGAUGAUACCGCUCUUUUACUGUCUGUUCUUUGAAUCAAAAGCCUAGUUGAGCAAUUUUGAACUUCUUGUGACUUGAACUGAGGUUGUAUUUGGUUAUACAGAUCUUAUGAAAGGAACAUAAAUAAUUAGUAUGUGCAGAUCAUUUUCUUGUCUUUUUGUUGUUUGUAGUUAUGUUUGUGGUUUUUCCAACCUGUGUUUGUAUUUGUUAUGUCGAUGAGGUCACAGUGAUGAUAAAAAUCUUCAGUAGGAUUCUCUUUGUAAUUGUAUGCUGAACUAUCAUUUUAGGAGAUGCUGCAGAAUCUACAUCAAGGACUAAAGGGCUGGAAUCAACUUCAAGUCAAUUGAAGUUGGAAAGAUCUAAGACUGAGAGACAAAGACCUCACAACAUACUUGCUGAAGAGGCAGCACAAAUUUUUGAUGAUAAAAUUCCUGUCCAGCAGAAGGUAAUUAAUUCUUAUUAAUAUUAUUUUUAGCUUUGUAUAAUUUUUCCAGUGCAGCGACUGUUCUGUGGCACAAAAGAUGCUGGGCUCCUGUUUGUUUAGCUCUUUUACUUGUACCAAUGGAGUGUUGAGGUUUUGUUGAUACCUUGCUUGAGAUUUUCAUUUGUUUUAUUAAAAUGUGCAGCUUCAAUUGUUAAAAAGAAUAGCUACUGUCAAGGAUAACGGGACUGUAGAAUUUGAAGUUCCAGGAGAUGUUGAACACCGAGCUCUUGACACUAGAGGUGAAGAUGCUUGCUCCACAGCUGCUGGGGAUGAGCCUCUCGAUGCAGCAGAGCUUCAGUAUAUACCUCCUUUGCAAGUAGUAAUGCUUAUUGUUGGCACACGUGGAGAUGUGCAGCCUUUUAUUGCUAUCGGGAAACGACUGCAGGUAAAGUUGAAAUUCCUGUUCCUUUAAAUGGCUGUGCUCUGUGUAGCCUGUAGAAGCUUUACCUAAUAGUAUCAUGUUAUGUCUUCAGUGGUGCCUUGGUUCAUCGUAGCUUUGAUGUCUUAUUGUUCCUAUGAUGUGGAUCCUUCAAAAAUCCCUGAUUAUUGGUAUUUAGAAGAUAAAGAAUGUGAAUUUAAGCUUCAAUCUUGACUUCUUUUUUUGGGCUUAUAUAUAAAUAAUUGACUCUAGCUUUUAAGAAGAGGAACGCCUGAACAUUUGAUUUAUCUGCAGGAUUAUGGUCAUCGUGUCAGACUAGCUACUCAUUCAAAUUUUAAGGAGUUUGUCUUGACAGCUGGGUUGGAGUUUUAUCCAUUAGGCGGAGAUCCAAAGAUUUUGGCUGGUUGUAUGUACCUAACACUCUUCACAAUCAUCUCGUCUUAUCCAUAUAUCCCUAGCAUUUGAACUCUAAGCUUUAUUUCCAAGGAUUUGCACUUAACUUGUAUUCAGGAGAAAAUACGUCACAUACAAAGAAAAAAUAUAUCCCUAGCAUUUGAACACUAAGCAGUUAUCUUAUUAGUUGAUAGGAAACCUUUUAUCCUUUUCAUUCAGAAAAAAAUUUGUCAUAGUUUUAUUUAGCAAAUGAGAUUUAGUCUGCUCAGCGGUAUGCUGUAUCAAGCACUUGCAUUUGUUGAUAGUGAACUCAAUAGCAACCCUUGUGACUUGUCUGCUCGUCUUCUGAUCAGACAUGGUGAAAAAUAAAGGCUUCCUGCCAUCCGGGCCGUCAGAGAUACCUGUGCAGCGAACUCAAUUGAAGGACAUAAUAUGGUCCUUACUCGCUGCUUGUAAGGAACCUGAUAUGGAUUCUGGCAUCCCCUUUAAGGCAGAUGCUAUAAUUGCCAAUCCUCCAGCAUACGGUGAGUUUCUGCAUAACAAUAAAGUUGAAUAGCUGUUUUGUUGAAUUUGAAGAGUCUCUGGUACUCUCAUCUUCUUCUGUUGAUUGUUUGCUUUGCCUAGUUACUUGUGAUUCUUCUGUAUUGAUUGGAUUGUUUCAUUUUGAGUGUUAUUUCUGUAUCCAUUUUGGAAAACUUAUAUUAUAGAAAUUAACCUGCUUCAUACCUAUUAGGGCAUACUCAUGUAGCAGAGGCACUGAAAGUCCCGAUCCACAUAUUCUUCACCAUGCCAUGGACGUAAGUUUCAACUGGUUGAUGCUUCCGUUGGAUAUAUUUCCCUGAUAGUAGUGUAGUGAGUUAUUUACUCUAUGCUUUAGUCAUCUUGAUCAUUGUUUGUUAUAAACAUUCCUAUGAGGGCUUACUUAAAAAAUGUUUUAUAUCAUUAUAUGCUCUCAUCAGGCCUACUAGUGAGUUUCCACAUCCUUUGUCUCGGGUCAAGCAACCAGCUGGCUAUAGGGUGAGUCCAUUGCUCACUUCUUCUCUAACCUCCAGCAAGUGGAAGAAGGAAAUAAAUACAAAUCCAUGCUUCUGUUUCAUUUCUCUACAUCAUCUCUUUUGACUGUUGCUCUCUCUAUGUUUGUAGCUGUCAUAUCAAAUAGUUGAUUCUCUGAUUUGGCUUGGAAUACGGGAUAUGAUAAAUGACGUUAGGAAAAAGAAGUUGAAGCUACGUCCUGUUACCUAUCUUAGUGGUUCACAGGGCAGUGAGUCAGAAGUGCCACAUGCAUACAUAUGGAGUCCUCAUCUUGUUCCGAAACCAAAAGGUACUCUAGGGCUGUUGGGUGGUCAAACAUUUUGGAUAAAUUGUUUCGUGGUUUAUUCGCACCAAAGUAAAAGUGCAUUAAAAGAAAACAAAUGUCUUAGUUCAGUAGAUGUUGCAUCUCAACGUUCUGCAUAAAUAGUUAUAUCUUCUCUUGGUAGAUAAACUUCCAACUGAUUGUUAUUGUAGACUGGGGCCCAAAAAUAGAUGUGGUGGGUUUUUGCUUUCUCGAUCUAGCAUCAAAUUUUGAACCUCCAGAAGAACUCGUCAAAUGGCUGGAAGCUGGUCCAACACCCAUUUAUAUUGGUUUUGGUAGUCUUGUGAGUCUGCUCCACUCCUUUAUCUUUAUGAACUUUCUUGAAUAGAUUCUCGUAGCUUUGUCUGCAGUAAUUUACUGGGAGGGUUACCAACAUUGGUAAAACUAUUUAAAUUACUGGGAGGGUUCAUGUUUGAGUUCUCUGUCUAAUGGAAGUCUGGUGUUUUCUGGUCUCAUUAUGUGGAAAUUUCUCACAGUUGUGGUAUUGUUUCAGCCAGUUCAGGAGCCUGAGAAAAUGACCCAAAUUAUUGUGGAGGCAUUGGAACAGACUGGGCAGAGAGGCAUCAUUAACAAAGGCUGGGGUGGUCUAGGAAACUGUAAGCUUACUGUCACCAUUGGAAGCUUUUUUCGCUAAACAGUUUGUGGUCUCUGGAUUCUAACACUUCAAUAUUUUCCUGUAUCGAUCAUUGAGUUUUGUUAAUUGUCUCAGUGGCAGAGCCAAAGGACUGUAUAUAUCUCUUAGACAACAUCCCCCAUGACUGGCUGUUCCUGCAAUGCAAAGCAGUGGUAAGACUCCAUUAAAGUUAUAAUAUAUAUGGACCUUUAAAAGGAUUAGAUGAACGUGAACAUCUGGAACUCAGCAAUUAGUCGAUUUCUUAAUAUAACUGUCAAUUUUGGUUCGUUACUGUUUCCACCAUUGGCUUUCAGGUUCAUCAUGGAGGGGCUGGGACGACAGCUGCUGGUCUUAAAGCUGCUGUAUGAGCUCAAAAUCAUUCCCACUAGUUUCAUAUUCUACUCUGUCAAAGAUGUGCCUGCAUUACUAUUCUUCCAUCUUUAUUCUUGUUUGUGAUAUUGUUGCAGUGCCCGACAACAAUCGUACCCUUCUUCGGCGACCAACCUUUCUGGGGUGAAAGAGUACAUGCUAGAGGAGUCGGUCCGCCUCCUAUUCCAGUCGAGGAAUUCACGCUCGAUAAGUUGGUCGACGCUAUAAAGUUCAUGCUAAAGCCCCAGGUAUACUGCAGCUUUCCCUCCUUACUGUCUUCAUUAUUAACCCUAGGUAGAUGGUUGACACAACUAUGAAAAAACAAAAGCCAAAACCUAUUGGGAAUCCCAAAAUGUGUUUUCUUCCUCGAGAGGAAAAUGGAAUCGAAUUGGGCAGAAUCCUUCAUUUCCGUUUGUUUGGUAGGAAAGUUGGGAUGUUAUCUCCAGGGAGAACCAAGUUGUGAAUUGAUUCCAAUUUUCUUAUUUUUGUUUGACAGGUGAAGGAGAAGGCAUUGGAGUUGGCCAAGGCAAUGGAGAACGAAGACGGAGUAGCUGGAGCAGUCGCAGCAUUCUUCAAGCAACUUCCUAAGAAGAAGAAGAAGGACGAGCCCGAGCGAGUUCCGGAGCCAUCGAGCAUGUUCUCGUUCAGCCGAUGCUUCGGCUGUUCCUGAAAACAUGCAAUCAGCAGCCUUCCUUGAUGAGAAGAUUGAUGAUUUAGUUGUGAAAUUAUCUUCCGGCGUUUCGAAUACAUCAAAAUCGAAAGAUGCAUCUGUUGUAAUGUAGUCCGCGGAAGAUCCAAAUUCCGAAAGCCGUGUGUCGUAAAUCCUUACAGUGAAUCUGUUUUCCCUUGUUUUCCUCAUUCAUCAGUUUGCAGAUGCAACUCAGACAGUAAUCUGGCUGUGUAAAAAACGGUUCGCCGUUAUUCUUCGAAAGAAAACAUAGUACAUAGAUUGUGCAAAGUGUCAAGAACAAUUAUUUUACCAGAACUAACGUAACAAUCACUAAACUAGAUCUCGCCAGUAAGAUUUGGCAACUUAUUACUUGUGGAUUUUGAAUGCUGACAUAUAGACAAUACAUUAUUUAUUUAUUUUUCUUCUGACAUCGGCAUAGUGGUGAUUCGGAAAUUUGUCAAAAGAAUGUUUUCUUCGUGUAACAUAAAAAGUCAACAACAUAACAUUUAAAAAUAGUAUGAUAAUCGCUUAUCUCGAGAUUACAAAUAGCACCGACACUGGUUCCGGAAGCCAUCAAAACUUGGCUAUUAUACUACCUUCAUACAUCAUUUGCCACUUUCAAUCAUAUAUAUGUACAGACCGUGGAUGAAUUAUGCAUAAUCUUCUUGUGAAUGACAACUUGCUUAUAUUAUUAAAAGCAAUUAGAAGCAAUUGUGAUUGAGAUGGUAAGAUUACUUGUAGCAAUGGAGCCAAUGACGAUCCCACUUGUAGCAAAUAGGUCACCUGUACUGCAUCCGCCAUGAACUUAAUUACUUGUAACAAUCACGGCAUUUGAAAUGGUAAGAAAGUCGCACAUCGACGACGUACGUAGAAUUAGAAACAACCCCAAUCUUGUAAGAAAGGCACACGUAAGUAAGUUGACGAGCAAACUAGAAGCGGAAAUGUACGAGAAACCCGGAGGAAAUUCUGAUAGACCAAACUUUUGGGUUUGACCCGGCCGACUGAAUAGCGUGGAAAUCGGGUCGGCGGCGCUCUCUGUCUGCUGGUGGCCGCCACCCAGUUCAGCCAUCGUUAGUCCGUACGCUUCCUGCACUUCAGUUUAUAAAACCCAAGCUGAACGUACGUAUACAUAUAUGAUUCAUUAUGUCUAAGAAUAUUGGUUUUAUACUACUCAUUAUAACACACUCACUUGUUUAUGCUAUGAACCAUUGUACUUUAAUAAUUCGAUCGAAUUGCAUGUUGGGAGAGAGUUCAAAAUUGGUUUAUAUACCCGCUAGCUAAUACCCUCCACCCUUAAACAGAAAGUCUCAGAAUAAUAUGAGCUAGUCUUGCAUAGCUUCGAUGAUAAGUCUAUUUGUGCAAUGAAUUGGGAGAUAUGUACCAGUAUCUGAAACAUAGAUUUCUCAAUCAUUAAAAGCUUCGAUGCCAAUGCUAUAAAUUAUUGCGUUCCAAUAAUUUGAGUUGUUGGGAGAGAGUUUAAAAUUUAUUAUUAAGAAAUAAGGAGUGAUUUAUAAACGUAACAUGUGCGCCACACAUAUGGUCAUCUCAGUGGUGGAGCACAGUUGAUAGCAUAGUGCACUGGCCUGGAGAUCUCUCGCGUUCGAUCUGCUAUUUGUGGACACCUUUGUUUCUUUCUUCAAGUUUAGGUUAGCGCUAUCUUGAUUCUAUUUGUAAUAAAAAUCUCAUAUAUGUUUUAAAUUUCUAGUAAUUCAAGUAAAAAUACAAAAUUAUUUGAAGCAUAAAUAAAAAAAUACAUUAGGUAGAAAUCAAAUUAGAAGAAAGAUCCUUGAGUGAAGUUUACCAUAUAUAUCCACUUGACUACUUGAGAGCGAUGGUUUAGUGGGUUGAAGUUUGCUAUUUUUCGCCAACUCUCGACCAACUAUAUAUAUAUAUAUAUUUGUUUUAAAAAUGCAAAAAAAAAAUUUUAAAAUUUCUUACUUGAAAUUUUUUCUUACUUACUACUGAUGUGAAGCAUAAAUUACCAUAAUUAUUCAAAAUUAAGAGCAAUAAUGAAAUUUUAUGUUUAAUAUAACAUUGUAUUUUUAUUGUAUAUAAUGCAAAAAUUAUUAGUAUUGUUAAGAUAUAUGAAAUUAUUAAUUCUUAACUAUUUCAACAUACAUUAUUUAUUUCUGAUGUGUAGCAGGCGGCAGUUGCAGGGUCUGCCGUCGCCGGAGAUGAAGGUGAAUCGGCCAGUGUAGGGUCAGUAGUUGGGUCAUCAGACAUCACCUACUCCGUACGUAAAUAUAUAUAGCGUUUCAAAAGAAACCCCGUCAUUUAGCUGUCCGCGCCUGGAUAAAUUUAUAAUGCAGGCGGGGGGGGGGACCAAAAAUUGCUCGCCGGGGGGGGUUUUACAAACCGAAACAAUGGNNNNNNNNNNNNNNNNNNNNNNNNNNNNNNNNNNNNNNNNNNNNNNNNNNNNNNNNNNNNNNNNNNNNNNNNNNNNNNNNNNNNNNCGAUGCUUCUAGGGGCGGCAGUCCAGUGAAUAACGGAGGUUAGUACAUAUAUAGCUAUAUGUAACCUGUACCUGGACUGGAAGUUGACUUGAGUUCUAUGAGUCCAUAUGUUACAUACCGGUGCAACACACAUAUCAAAACAUAGUAGACGUGGUAACACUAUUACAUUUGUAGUCUUUUUUUUACUGUCACCUCCUCUUUCCCUUCCUUUUUUACCCUUUCGGCAAGCAUCGAAUCAUUGAUCAGGAUAAUUCAAUACACUAAUUAAUCGGGAUUGUAAAAAAAAGUUAAAAUAUUAAAAAAAUUACACUAACUUAAACCCUCUUUAAACAAAUGAUACAUAGGGAUUUUUUUAUUUUACAAUGUGCUCUCCAAAUUUGGAAGCCUGGUGAAAAUGCAGGAUUAGAAGUUCUAGUUGAUAUUGUCGAAUCAUAAACUCUUUGCCGUUAGAGGUCUUGAAGAUAAUUUGUCUGUGCAGCUGCAGGAGCUGAUGAGCCUCUCGAUGCAGUAGAGUUUCAGAAUGUACCACCAUUGCAAAUAGUAAUGCUUAUUGUUGGCACUCGAGGAGAUGUACAGCCAUUCGUUGCGAUCGGUCUACGACUGAAGGUUAAGUUGCAAAUCCGCUUUCCGGUCUUCUAAUGCUGUAUCGAUGAUGUAGUUUAUAAAUUCUUGAUGUCAAGGUCUCAUGCGUUUGUUCAUCAUAGAGGCUCUGAGUUUAAGCUUCAAUCUUAAAAGCUUUUAGCUCUUGAGAAGACUGAAAGUUUGAUUUUUGGUUGCAGAAUUAUGGCCAUCGUGUGAGAGUAGCUACUCAUUCAAUAUUUAAGGAGUUUGUCUUGACAGCUGGGUUGGAGUUUUAUCCUCUAGGUGGAGACUCAAAGGUUCUUGCUAGUUGUAUGUACCUAACCCUCUUCACAGUCCUCAUCUC
rnacentral:lncRNA from 1 species